CCCUUAGAUGUUCUGGGCCGCACGCGCGCUACACUGAUGCAUUCAACGAGUCUAAAACCUGGUCUGAUAGGGCUGGGUAAUCUUUUGAAAGUGCAUCGUGAUUGGGAUAGAUGAUUGCAAUUCUUCAUCUUCAACGAGGAAUGCCUAGUAAACGCAAGUCAUCAGCUUGCAUUGAUUACGUCCCUGCCCUUUGUACACACCGCCCGUCGCUCCUACCGAUUGAAUGAUCCGAUGAAUACCAUGGAUUGAGAGUACGAAUGGGUUCGCUCAUUUCUGCUGCUCGAGAAGUGGAGUAAAUCUUAUCAUUUAGGGGAAGGAGAAGUCGUAACA
rnacentral:rRNA from 1 species